UGCAGCCCGUGUCCCAUAUUUAGCCUCCACCAACACCACGCACCUCGUUCCGUUCUCAUCUGUGGCCCAUUCAAACCAACGGGGGCCCGGACUAUAGAGUCUAUCGGGUCGACGAAGAAGAACGGAACGACAAACACAUGAGAUGCUGAGGCCGGGGAUGAUGGAAAAUCCACGUCAGGAGAAGAAGGGACGCAGAGAGGAGUCAAUCACAGUUUCAUUUUCCGAAAACAGGAAAAAACGUUUAGUUACGAUUUUCAGUAUUUGUGCAAACGCUUAAUAAACAGCAUUAAGCUAAUUCGUGAGCAUCAACAGUGAUGAGCGCGUGUAUCUUCCAAGUCCUCUAAAAGCCAGGACACAAAAAAGAGAAAAUCCUUUGUACUGACAAAAGAGAGCACCCCCCCCCCCCCCCCCCCCCCCCCCCCCCCACCACCACCACCUCCACCCCAGCCUCCCGUAAAAAUAAGUGUACAGAGUCAUAAACAAUCGCUGGCAAAUAACAGCAAUUUCACAGCUAAUUCGUAGAUUUCACGUGUGGAUGCCUCCAUCACCUCCCUCCAUUUAAUGCUGUGAAUAGAGACAAAUGCUGACAUUACAACUGUGAGGUGACUCAGUGUGUGUGUAUGAAAGAGAGAAAGGUGGGAGGAGGUCCUGGGUCGCAUCAUUUAAGCCCAGAUUUAGUGGCAGACCCACUGUUGGCCUCAGAAGUGUGUGGUGACGCACGCUGGCGUUUCUACAGGUGUUAAAAUGACUGCGGCGCAGAAUUGAUUGUUAAUUGAAAAUCAAAUAAAACCUGAGAAUGCAAUAAUGACUCCGUUUAAAAUUAAGCUCAUCAGGUAAAUUGUACAAUGAUAAUAAUCAUCCCACGUACAGUGUGAUGCAGUUGUGAAUCCUCAACCAGCUCCUUAGAAGAGACAGAGAAAUGACUACAAGUCGAGGUUUUGAGAUGAUAAAAACGGCCUCAUACGAACAUGCAGCUCAAGCUGAAACAAACUAAAUAAUAAAAUGGCCAGAUUAUGUAUGAACUACUGUAUGCUACUUACUGCUACAGCAGGAGAUCUAAGUUAGAAAUGUAAAGAAAGGGUGAUGUGCAGUAUGGACUAAGAGGGUCUGUUAGGCCUCUAACAGGAAGCUGGGCCAAAUUAUGGAGGACUCUCAAGGUAAGAUGCAGAAUCUCAGCCAGCAAAGGUACAUGAGGAAGGAAGUUGUAUGAUUGGUGUGAGUGAAUCCUGAUGUUGUAUUUAAAAACCCAGAUGUGGACAGCUGGUGAGGACCCAGGGGGAUAUGUAGUGUAGUGCAAAAGUGCAAAUGCAUUGACAUGUUGGCCUCUUUUAGGAGUUUGGUAUGGUUGGUAAUGAUGUUGAGGGUCAUGAGGAUAGUUUGCAGGACAUUUAGUGACUAACGGGGUUCAGAGAGGGUUUUGCUGCGAGGGUGUGAGCUGCUUCAAGUUCAAGAAUCAUGGCGAGCCAUAAACGGUGCGAGUGGGCUGGUGGUUAUUUAGCUCCCUGAAUGCCAUCCACAGACAGGUGAGUGCAGCACCGGGGAAAACAAACCGCUGUCUGUUGAGCUCCCACGGCUGAGUUGCGUCCAGACUUCUCUCUGCCAGUCGCGUCAGAGUAUUUUGGUAGGACUGGGGGUGUGAGUUCACCUCUUCUUCAAUUCCUCAUCAUUAAAAGUAUAACAUGUCACUAAUGUGCUGCAAGCAAUCCGUCCUCAGGCAGUUUAAAAUGAAGGAAGCCUGAACAGGUGCUCCAGAGGGUGUAAAGGACUUGGUUACACCUUAAAUUGCACCACCCACUUGUUUAUGUAUUUUAGAAUCUGUACUAAGUAAUGAACAAUGAAAGUGAAAUCAAAUGUGGACAUAGUGCAUAUUUAUACUUGAAAUGUUUAGCGGCGUUGGAGUGAAACAUCAGGACUUUGGUCGUUCUGCUCUCCUUUAAAACGAGUCAUUACAGUUUUUUCUCAGCUAUUAAAAAAAAACAAACAAGCGAA